UUGAUUAAUAGUGUAAUUAGGGUUUAAAUUGACAUGAUUAAAAUAUAAUCCUAUGUCGACAAUUUUGAUUCUACAUUCUCCCCCUUUGUCGAUGACAUAUAUGUUUUAACUCAUGUCUAGUCAAUAUUCUAUUUUACCCUUAUGAGCAUGCUCCCCCUGAAUUAUUGACCCAUAAUAUUCAAUUUAAAAGCAGUGGAUCAUGCAUGAUUUCUCCCCCUUAAAACAAUAAGGUAUCGACAAAGUUAACAAUAGAUACCUAUGAAGUAUCUCCCCCUUAAUGAUAGGACAUAUCUAAUUUGUGGAGAAAAUAAAAUUUCAUACCUCAUUGAGCUUUAAUCACAAAUUCGAUUUGUGCGGUUGACCAAAUGUGACGUCUUGCUUAUAAGAGUGUUAGUCAAUCAUAAAAGAGAAAUAACAUGUAAUUUAUGCUCAUUGAUAAAAUAUUGGAUUGAAGCCAAUUUUGAUAUACAUUAUAAGGCAAGUAUGAUAUGAUAAUUUAGAUUGCCUUGUGCUAAGAUCAUGCAAUGAAUAAUAAUCCAUGUGUGUGUUAUGGAUGAAGAUGAUCUUAACAUGUAUGGAUUAAAGAUUUUAUAAUGUUAUAAUCCAUAAGAUAUUAGUGAAUGAUAUGUAUAAAUCCAUAAUAUUCACUAAUUGCUUUAAGGAGAAAUU
rnacentral:lncRNA from 1 species